GUAACACGUAGUCAACCUGCCCUCGGGUCCAGAAUAAUCUCGGGAAACUGAGGCUAAUGAGCGAUAGGUCAAGAUUCCUGGAAUGGGUUUUGGUCUAAACGGCGUGACAGCAUCUUGUCGUGUCCGCCCGAGGAUGGGACUGCGGCCGAUCAGGCUGUUGGUGGGGUAAAGGCCCACCAAACCAGUAACCGGUACGGGCUUUGAGAGAAGGAGCCCGGAGAUGGACACUGAGACAAGGGUCCAGGUCCUACGGGGCGCAGCAGGCGCGAAACCUUCGCAAUGCGCGCAAGCGCGACGAGGUUAUUCCGAGUGAUUUCCGCUGAGGAAAUCUUUUCUUAGAUCUAAAAAGUCUGGGGGAAUAAGGGGAGGGNCAGUCUGGUGUCAGCCGCCCGCGGGUAUACCAGCUCCUCGAGUGGUCAGGGCGUUUUAUGGGGCCUAAAGCAUUCCGUAGCCUGCUCCGGUAGGGUCUCCUGUUAAAAUCCAAACGGCUCAACCGUUGGGUCUGCCAGAAAAUACCGCUGGGGCU
rnacentral:rRNA from 1 species